ensembl:lncRNA
CAAUGCUUGGUGUUGUUUUCUGGGCCUGUCACGUGUUAAUUCCAGGGGAGAAUCAGCUUCUUUAAAUGCAAUUUCUGCUCUGUGCAUGUGACAUUGGCAUUAAGUCUGGCUGUGAGAGCAGCCUGCCUGGAAAGAACAAGCAGGAAAGCAUAGCAACACUACCGUCUUCUGCUCUACAGAAAUCCAAAGUGGUCUCGGUGCAAGCCUCUGAAGUGAAGAGGAGCUUGCCUUGUGUCUUUUACAGUGUAUCUUAAUGAGAUUUUGUGCACCUAAUGAGAACAAGAGAAAAGAUCUGCUGAGCACUGAACAGGGUACAGUGACAUCAUCUGAUGGCAACUGGAGAGAAGAAGUGUCAUAGGAUGUGCCAGUCAAAGAACGGCUUGAGAAGGAGGCAGAGAGAAAAAGGUCCACACACUGUUCACAGCAGAGAACUCCCUUUUUCCUUCUGUAUUCCUGGAAAGUGCCAAGCACUGGAGUGGGUGCUCUAAAAUGUUUUGUUUUACUGUUACUGGAAAUAGUGCCAUUUCAUGUACCCAAGAGAGACACCGAGAAAGGCUAUAAUCUUUGCUAAAGUUACUCCAGCGUUAAAAG